GCGUGAAGGCGAGCACUCUAGACGAUGCCGUUGAACAAACGGAGGAGGUGGGAUGACGUCAAAUCAUCAUGCCCCUUAUGUUCUGGGCUACACACGUGCUACAAUGGCCGGUACAGACGGACGCAAAGCCGCGAGGUGGAGCAAAUCCUAAAAAGCCGGUCUCAGUUCGGAUUGCAGGCUGCAAUUCGCCUGCAUGAAGUCGGAAUCGCUAGUAAUCGCAGGUCAGCAUACUGCGGUGAAUACGUUCCCGGGCCUU
rnacentral:rRNA from 1 species